AUGAACGCUGGCGGCGUGCCUAAUACAUGCCAGUCGCGCGAACAGACGAGGAGCUUGCUCCUCUGACGUUAGCGGCGGCCGGGUGAGUAACACGUGGAUAACCUACCUAUAAGACUGGGAUAACUUCGGGAAACCGGAGCUAAUACCGGAUAAUAUAUUGAACCGCAUGGUUCGAUAGUGAAAGACGGUUUUGCUGUCACUUAUAGAUGGAUCCGCGCCGCAUUAGCUAGUUGGUAAGGUAACGGCUUACCAAGGCAACGAUGCGUAGCCGACCUGAGAGGGUGAUCGGCCACACUGGAGCUGAGACACGGUCCAGACUCCUACGGGAGGCAGCAGUAGGGAAUCUUCCGCAAUGGUCGAAAGCCUGACGGAGCAACGCCGCGUGAGUGAUGAAGGUCUUCGGAUCGUAAAACUCUGUUAUUAGGGAAGAACAAAUGUGUAAGUAACUAUGCACGUCUUGACGGUACCUAAUCAGAAAGCCACGGCUAACUACGUG
rnacentral:rRNA from 1 species